rnacentral:rRNA from 1 species
GACGAACGCUGGCGGCGUGCCUAAUACAUGCAAGUAGGACGCAGUUGCGAACGGGCGAGUAACGCGUAGGUAACUGCCUAUUAGAGGGGGAUAACUAUUGGAAACGAUAGCUAAUACCGCAUACUAGUAGAUGGACCUGCGUUGUAUUAGCUAGUAGGUAGGGUAAUUGCCUACCUAGGCGACGAUACAUAGCCGAGCUGAGGAGGGGAUCGGCCAAACUGGGACUGAGGCACGGCCAAGACUCCUACGGGAGGGCGCAGUAGGGAAUCUUCGGAAAUGGGGGGAACCCUGGCCGAGCAACGCCGCGUGAGGGAAGAAGGUUUUCGGAUCGUAAAGCGCUGUUGUUAAGGAAGCGGUACUUAACCAGAAAGGGACGGCUAACUACGUGCCAGCAGCCGCGGUAAUAC